rnacentral:lncRNA from 1 species
CAAUAUUCAUUGAAGAUUCAUCCAUGUCUUCAAUGGCAUGAUAGUGCAUUUCUUUCUAUUGAUGCAUAGUGUUCCAUUGUAUGGAUGUACCACAGUUAAUUUCUUCAUUCACCUUUUGACAGAUAUGAUGACUACUUCCAGUUUUUGAUGAGUAUGAACAGAACUCCCAUGACCAUUCACGUGCAGGUGUGCAAGCUUUUGUAUAGGAAGAAAUUUUCAAGUCAAUUGGGUAAAUACUCAGAAACACAAAUGAUGAGGGAUAAGAACUCUGAAAUACAAAGAACCAAAAUUAUCAACUGCAAAAUAUAUGCAUAAUUGAGAAACAAUCUUAUUAACCAAGUAAGUGAAGACCCAGUUCCUUUGCACCCCCAACCUCCUCAAAAUGAUGGAGUUGGCUACGAGAGGAACCUGAGGUGGAGACAUCCUCUCACACAGAAGACUCAACAUAGAAGAAUAGAGGAAGGAAGAGGAGCUGCACAAAUAGACAGUCAGAGGUAGAAGAGAGGAUAUACAAAUUUAUUUCAUGAAGCUGGCAUACUUCCAUAUCAAAAUCCGGAAAGGAUAAACUCACCAAAAAAGAAAAAGGAAAAGGAGAAGGAUACAAAAAAAAAUAGGUCCCUAAUGCUUGCUGUCCAUGGUUAAAUGAGCAUAAUUUUGGAUUGCUAUUUCCCUGCACAUAGAAUACUAAAGAUAAUCAAAUACAAUAUCUCAUAAUGUAUGCUCCUGUUCUUUCAAAA